rnacentral:rRNA from 1 species
GACGAACGCUGGCGGCGUGCCUAAUACAUGCAAGUAGAACGCUGAAGCUUGGUGCUUGCACCGAGCGGAUGAGUUGCGAACGGGUGAGUAACGCGUAGGUAACCUGCCUGGUAGCGGGGGAUAACUAUUGGAAACGAUAGCUAAUACCGCAUAAGAGUAGAUGUUGCAUGACAUUUGCUUAAAAGGUGCAAUUGCAUCACUACCAGAUGGACCUGCGUUGUAUUAGCUAGUUGGUGAGGUAACGGCUCACCAAGGCAACGAUACAUAGCCGACCUGAGAGGGUGAUCGGCCACACUGGGACUGAGACACGGCCCAGACUCCUACGGGAGGCAGCAGUAGGGAAUCUUCGGCAAGGGACGGAAGUCUGACCGAGCAACGCCGCGUGAGUGAAGAAGGUUUUCGGAUCGUAAAGCUCUGUUGUAAGAGAAGAACGAGUGUGAGAGUGGAAAGUUCACACUGUGACGGUAUCUUACCAGAAAGGGACGGCUAACUACGUG